rnacentral:rRNA from 1 species
GAUGAACGCUGGCGGCGUGCCUAAUACAUGCAAGUCGAGCGAACAGAUAAUGAGCUUUCUCCUUUUACGUGAGCGGCGGACGGGUGAGUAAAACAUGGGGAACCUAACUAUAUGACUGGAAUAACUCCGUGAGACCGGGGCUCAUGCAGGGUAACAUAUUGAACCGCAUGGUUCUACAGUGAAAGGCGGCGUUUCUGUCACUUAUAGAUGGACCCGCGCCGUAUUAGCUAGUUGGUGAGGUAACGGCUAACAAAGGCAACGAUACGUAGCCGACCUGAGAGGGGGAUCGGCAAAACUGGACCUGAGACCGGGCCCAGACUCCUACGGGAGGAAGCAGUAGGGAAUCUUCCGAAAUGAGGGAAGGCUUGAGGGAGAAACGCCGCGGGAGUGAGGAAGGCCUUCGAAUGGUAAAACCCUGUUAUUAGGGAAGAACAAAUGCGUAAGUACCGGUGCGGGUCUUGACGGUACCAAAUAAGAAAGCACCGCCUACCUCCGU